GGUGGGAUGGGUAGAGAAGGAGCUCAGAGGACUGUGCGCCUUAUUUCCCCUGAGCCCUCCCUCUCUCUUCCCACC
ensembl:miRNA